GGCUCACCCUUUAUCCCUGAGAGACGUCGAAGGCCCCUUCUGCCUGAUGGCACAUUCAGCUCCUGUAAGAAGAUCUGGAUUCAGGCUGCCUUCCUCAGUGUCUGCCAUUGCCCUCCUCCACUGGCAUCACGUACAUGAGGAUGCUGCAUGUAGAUUAUUUGAUGUGAUGAAGUCUCCAACUCCAGCGCUGGAUAAAACAAGCCUUAGAAGAAGGGAUGACUCAAACAUCAUCUGUACCCCAAGAGACUAGAACUCAGCACCUAUACCAAAGCAAUGAGAAUAGUAGCUCUUCUAGUAUCUGCAAAGACAAUGCAGACUUGUUGAGCCCAUUAAAGAAAUGGAAGUCUCGCUAUCUGAUGGAGCAGAAUGUCACCAAGUUACUUCGGCCUCUGUCUCCAGUCACACCACCCCCUCCCAAUUCAGGCUCAAAGAGUCCCCAGCUGGCCACACCUGGCUCAUCUCACCCAGGAGAAGAGGAGUGUCGAAAUGGAUACAGCCUCAUGUUUUCACCAGUCACAUCUCUUACUACUGCUAGUCGCUGCAACACUCCUCUACAGUUUGAGGUGAUUUGGGUUUGGUUGCUG
rnacentral:lncRNA from 1 species